UACGUAGGGGGCAAGCGUUGUCCGGAAUCAUUGGGCGUAAAGAGCGUGUAGGUGGCUCGGUAAGUCCGCUGUAAAAGUCCAGGGCUCAACCCUGGAAAGCCAGUGGAAACUGUCGAGCUAGAGUCCGGAAGAGGCGAGUGGAAUUCCUGGUGUAGCGGUGAAAUGCGCAGAUAUCAGGAGGAACACCAAUGGCGAAGGCAGCUCGCUGGGACGGUACUGACACUGAGACGCGAAAGCGUGGGGAGCAAACAGGAUUAGAAACCCGCGUAGUCC
rnacentral:rRNA from 1 species